RGCUGAGCUAUCCCGACCAUUCCUAAUGUAGCAUCCCACCCUCAUUUUAUGGGAUGACCGGGGUCUAUGUCAAUUAAAUAGACGAGAGGGGUAUUACAAAGUUUUCUCAAUUCUGUAAGUUGUUGGAUCUGCAAAAAGACGACUUUCUAAGUCUCAGUAUGAGUAAUGCUAUUGAUUGUGAAUAGUUCAAAUAGGGAUUCCCUGCUGAAUUUGGAUGUGCAUUCCAUAUUAUAUCCCAUGCGAUAAGAGAAAGUCAUUUAUUAUUAUGCCCAAAUACGUUUGUCAAAGAAUCCCGUAAAGAGAUUUUGACCCGCUAACGGAAAAGGGGAUAGCAUAAUUGGGAGUCAAAUAAGCCUUUUUCUUUUGGGGAUAGAGGGACUUAGAACCCUCACGAUUUUUAAAGUCGACGGAUUUUCCUCUUACUAUAAAUUUCAUUGUUGCCAUUAUUGACAUGUGGAAUGGGACUCUAUCUUUAUUCUCGUCCGCUUAAUCAGUUCUUUAAAAGAACUAUCGGACUUUGGAGUUAAUGAUUUGAUGAAUGAAUAUUCGACUCUUUCUUCAAUGUGGAAUCAAUUCACAUCAAUUCUUCCUUUUUUCAUAGAAAAAAAUACAGAUACAGAUGUGGAUCAUCUAAUCAUUUGAUAUAGUAUUCAAUAGAUACGUUUAUCCUUCAUCCUUUCUGAAGUUUCGAUGGAAAGAUUCCUGCAGUCAACUCCAUUUGUUAGAACAGCUUCCAUUGAGUCUCUGCACCUAUCCUUUUUUCUUUUUCGAAACCUUUGUUUUCAGAAAACAGGAUUUGGCUCAGGAUUGCCCUUUUUUAUUAAUUCCGGGGUUUCUCUGGAUUUGAAAGUUUUCACUUAGUAGGUUUCCAUAC
rnacentral:misc_RNA from 1 species